AUUGAACGCUGGCGGCAUGCCUUACACAUGCAAGUCGAACGGCAGCACGGGAGCAAUCCUGGUGGCGAGUGGCGAACGGGUGAGUAAAGUAUCGGAGCGUGCCCAGUCGUGGGGGAUAACGUAGCGAAUGUUACGCUAAUACCGCAUACGAUCUAUGGAUGAAAGCGGGGGAUCGCAAGACCUCGCGCGAUUGGAGCGGCCGAUAUCAGAUUAGGUAGUUGGUGGGGUAAAGGCUCACCAAGCCGACGAUCUGUAGCUGGUCUGAGAGGACGACCAGCCACACUGGGACUGAGACACGGCCCAGACUCCUACGGGAGGCAGCAGUGGGGAAUUUUGGACAAUGGGCGAAAGCCUGAUCCAGCCAUGCCGCGUGCAGGAUGAAGGCCUUCGGGUUGUAAACUGCUUUUGUACGGAACGAAAAGGUUUGGCCUAAUAAGCUGAGCUCAUGACGGUACCGUAAGAAUAAGCACCGGCUAACUACGUGCCAGCAGCCGCAGUAA
rnacentral:rRNA from 1 species